rnacentral:misc_RNA from 1 species
GUGUCACUGCCCUAUCAA